AGGGACUUAGAAUGUCGCCUGCACAUACACCUCAUCCCUCCGUGGCCCCUGGGCAAGUCCAGGCUGCAGCGAGGAGAGGCCUGGUAGGGCCUCCUGGGAGAGGACCGACCUGCUCCUCUGUGGGCAUAAAAGGACUCCAGGCGGGGCAGGGAGCAGCUGCCACCCACAUCAUGAAGCCGCCCGGUGCUCUCCUGCUUCUCUGAGCUGCCUUGCUCCUGAUCUCUGGCGGAGAUUGUAAAAUUUGCUCAUCUGUGGAGCACGAUGUCACCCUGUUCCUCACGGGCACCCCUGACGAGUAUGUCCAGCAGGUGGCCCAGUACCGAAACGAAACUAUAAUUUUGGAAAAUGCCAGAAGCCUGAAGGAGUGCGUGGACGGGAAAUUCACAGAAGAUGACAAGACAAAUGCUAUCAAUGUGCUG